rnacentral:tRNA from 5 species
GCCUCGGUAGCUCAGUCGGUAGAGCAGCGCCCUGAAAAGGCGCGUGUCGGGAGUUCGAUUCUCCCCUGAGGCA